rnacentral:rRNA from 1 species
CGAUAUUCGACGAGUUUGAUCCUGGCUCAGAACGAACGCUGGCGGCAUGCCUAACACAUGCAAGUCGAACGAAGGCUUCGGCCUUAGUGGCGCACGGGUGCGUAACGCGUGGGAACCUGCCCCUCGGUUCGGAAUAACAGUUAGAAAUAGACUGCUAAUACCGGAUGAUGACUUCGGUCCAAAGAUUUAUCGCCGAGGGAUGGGCCCGCGUAGGAUUAGCUAGUUGGUGGGGUAAAGGCCUACCAAGGCGACGAUCCUUAGCUGGUCUGAGAGGAUGAUCAGCCACACUGGGACUGAGACACGGCCCAGACUCCUACGGGAGGCAGCAGUGGGGAAUAUUGGACAAUGGGCGAAAGCCUGAUCCAGCAAUGCCGCGUGAGUGAUGAAGGCCUUAGGGUUGUAAAGCUCUUUUACCUAGGGAUGAUAAUGACAGUACCUGGAGAAUAAGCUCCGGCUAACUCCGUG